CUUCUUUCCUGCAUCAGAUAUUUCUUGAAGUAUGGAGUGGGUGCCAUGAUCUUAACUCUCAAUACUCUAUUCCAGUGCUACUAACAAGUUUCCUGAUGUGACAUUCAAGGGAACAAAGUCUAUACCAGUGACCCCAGGAGAUUCCACAAAAGGGAGAAGAGACCUUAUGAAGAUGCGAGCACAAUUGCCCUAACUGACCUCUGACUUCUUGUCCGAGGAGGAUAACCAUAUCCGAAGUUGAUCUCAGUGAUUUUACAGGGACAUGUCUUCAAGUGGGUGGAGGGGAGAGUCUCUGUCAUCCUGCUCUGCUAGUCAGUGACUCAGUGG